GUGACCUCAAAUCAGGUAGGACUACCCGCUGAACUUAAGCAUAUCAAUAAGCGGAGGAAAAGAAACUAACAAGGAUUCCCAUAGUAACUGCGAGUGAAGCGGGAAAAGCUCAAAUUUAAAAUCUGGCA
rnacentral:rRNA from 1 species